UACAGAGGGGGCAAGCGUUGUUCGGAAUUACUGGGCGUAAAGGGCGCGUAGGCGGCCUGCUAAGUCGAACGUGAAAUCCCCGGGCUCAACCCGGGAACUGCGUCCGAUACUGGUAGGCUUGAAUUCGGGAGAGGGAUGCGGAAUUCCAGGUGUAGCGGUGAAAUGCGUAGAUAUCAGGAGGAACACCUGUGGCGGAAGCGGCUCACUGGACCAUAACUGACGCUGAGGCACGAAAGCUAGGGGAGCAAACAGG
rnacentral:rRNA from 1 species